AAAUUAAGAAGAAAGAAAACAGAAC
rnacentral:sRNA from 1 species